AAAUUGAAGAGUUUGAUCAUGGCUCAGAUUGAACGCUGGCGGCAGGCCUAACACAUGCAAGUCGAACGGUAACAGGAAGCAGCUUGCUGCUUUGCUGACGAGUGGCGGACGGGUGAGUAAUGUCUGGGAAACUGCCUGAUGGAGGGGGAUAACUACUGGAAACGGUGGCUAAUACCGCAUAAUGUCGCAAGACCAAAGAGGGGGACCUUCGGGCCUCUUGCCAUCAGAUGUGCCCAGAUGGGAUUAGCUUGUUGGUGAGGUAACGGCUCACCAAGGCGACGAUCCCUAGCUGGUCUGAGAGGAUGACCAGCCACACUGGAACUGAGACACGGUCCAGACUCCUACGGGAGGCAGCAGUGGGGAAUAUUGCACAAUGGGCGCAAGCCUGAUGCAGCCAUGCCGCGUGUAUGAAGAAGGCCUUCGGGUUGUAAAGUACUUUCAGCGGGGAGGAAGGUGUUGUGGUUAAUAACCGCAGCAAUUGACGUUACCCGCAGAAGAAGCACCGGCUAACUCCGUGCCAGCAGCCGCGGUAAUACGGAGGGUGCAAGCGUUAAUCGGAAUUACUGGGCGUAAAGCGCACGCAGGCGGUCUGUCAAGUCGGAUGUGAAAUCCCCGGGCUCAACCUGGGAACUGCAUUCGAAACUGGCAGGCUUGAGUCUUGUAGAGGGGGGUAGAAUUCCAGGUGUAGCGGUGAAAUGCGUAGAGAUCUGGAGGAAUACCGGUGGCGAAGGCGGCCCCCUGGACAAAGACUGACGCUCAGGUGCGAAAGCGUGGGGAGCAAACAGGAUUAGAUACCCUGGUAGUCCACGCCGUAAACGAUGUCUACUUGGAGGUUGUGCCCUUGAGGCGUGGCUUCCGGAGCUAACGCGUUAAGUAGACCGCCUGGGGAGUACGGCCGCAAGGUUAAAACUCAAAUGAAUUGACGGGGGCCCGCACAAGCGGUGGAGCAUGUGGUUUAAUUCGAUGCAACGCGAAGAACCUUACCUGGUCUUGACAUCCACAGAACAUUCCAGAGAUGGAUUGGUGCCUUCGGGAACUGUGAGACAGGUGCUGCAUGGCUGUCGUCAGCUCGUGUUGUGAAAUGUUGGGUUAAGUCCCGCAACGAGCGCAACCCUUAUCCUUUGUUGCCAGCGGUCCGGCCGGGAACUCAAAGGAGACUGCCAGUGAUAAACUGGAGGAAGGUGGGGAUGACGUCAAGUCAUCAUGGCCCUUACGACCAGGGCUACACACGUGCUACAAUGGCGCAUACAAAGAGAAGCGACCUCGCGAGAGCAAGCGGACCUCAUAAAGUGCGUCGUAGUCCGGAUUGGAGUCUGCAACUCGACUCCAUGAAGUCGGAAUCGCUAGUAAUCGUGGAUCAGAAUGCCACGGUGAAUACGUUCCCGGGCCUUGUACACACCGCCCGUCACACCAUGGGAGUGGGUUGCAAAAGAAGUAGGUAGCUUAACCUUCGGGAGGGCGCUUACCACUUUGUGAUUCAUGACUGGGGUGAAGUCGUAACAAGGUAACCGUAGGGGAACCUGC
rnacentral:rRNA from 2 species